CUGAUAUUCACCUCUGUGCACAAUUCUCUGAUCAUAAUCAGCCGAUUCUCUCUGAUGAGCUGAUCAGGAUGCUCUUUAUUUUGUGGUGUGACAGAUGCGCAUGGCUGUCUGGAAUGUGUCUUGUCUUUCAUGUUUCUGUUGCCACUGCUGAAAUACACCACCCAACCCUCACUGUGCUUGCAUCCAUCCGCUGUGUGGUCUCUGUAAGCAUUCAACAAGUGUCGAUGAACGUCAGUGGGUGCCAUUUUUUCCAUAUGGAGGAAUUCCAUGACACACUUCUGCUUCAUGUGUACUUCCAUGUUGGAUGCUAUUUUGUCAGACUUCCCCUCUGCUGCCAUCUGUCACAGAGCAGCAAAUUAUGAUGGGAUAUCGGUGGGAAGGUUCAACCUUUACCACCAACAUCCGCCUCUGAAGUCACGGGACAGCAGAAUAAAACAGGAGGCAUUACUUUUGGAGCAGACCUUGUCAUUUAAGGUACUGUUCAGUUACAGUGGCAGGGCUGUUCUGGAUUCUGCUUCAGCAUCUAGAGCUUCAAGUCAUUCUUCUGGUCCCAUGAGAUUAUCUGCCGUAUUUGCCAGCCAUCAUUUACAGACCACGCUGUCAGCAGCAGUAAGAACAUAGCAUGUUUACAGCCUUAAGAUAUAUGCCUAAGUAUCUCUACUCAUAAACUCCCUUAGCCUGCUCUGUUGUUUUCAUUCAGAUUUUCCUUUAAAUAUAUUCCUGUGUAGAAAUAGAAGUUAUUUCGUGCAGGUGCAUCUCCCAUUGAUAAACCACUUAGGAGAAGGAAUGAACGAAUGCGUCUUAGACAAGUAAUGUGUUCUUUUUUUUUUUUUUUAAUUUCAGUUUGCACAUACCUCAGUUUUCUCAAAGAGGCAAUUUUAUUCAGGUUUGUCACUGUACUGUAAUACUGCAAUUAGACUUUUGCCUGAGCUUGCAAAUACUGCUCUGCAACACAAACCGAAGGCAAAAAUUGCUGACCCAGCAGUAUUCUGAAUCCUUUGUAGGUCUUUACAGCAAUGGUCUCCGCAGUUCCUUGUCAAGAAAACGUGCAGCUUGUAAGAAAAUCCAUUAACUCUAUCUGCCAUUUGUUUUCUGCAGCAGUUUCCUCUUUGCUCCUCACCUGGUGAUGUGACAGAAUAUCUUUUAUUUUCUAAUAACCCUUCCCAUAGCAUCAUAGUUUUGAUCAAUUCCACAUUACUGCAAAUUCAUGACUGCUUUGUGAAAGGGAAAGAGCCCAGAAUGCAGCAGAGGAAGAUACUGAUGGUAAUGCAAGCUAAUAAGAAAUUAAUUUACAUUGGCAUGAGCUGGCAAUUUUAGGGAGGAAAUAAUACAGCAGAUGGUGACUUUAUUCCCCCAACGAAACCUGAAAUGCAAGGACUUCCACAAGGUCUUUGCUGAGCAACAAAAGCAGUAAAUUUGCAUUCUCAAUUCAUCACUACCCCCAUCACUAUCUGAUAACACCAGAUAGGGGCAAAAUAUAUUUCAACAUUAUAUGCAUUGUACUAGACAGAGAUUUAAGAGGAACAGGAUGGGAAAGCUAUUAUACUGACUGUUCUCAACUGAUGUCUCUAGACUCCAUAGAUCAAACUUUGACCUACAUAGAAAGUGUAGUGGCCAAAUAAGAGUGAUGGAUCUGACCGUAUUUCUGAUACUUAUUAGAACAAAUAUGGCUCCAAAACCAGUAGUGAAAAGAGAAAAAGAACAGAAAGCAAUUACAGCCAAUAGAAUUAGCUGCAAUUUGGAAUGAAUGGCUAUAUAAGAAUAACUGGUAAAAGCACUCCUUAUAUAAUUUCUCUUUGAAUUUUCUUGUAUGUGUUAGUUAAUAUAUGUAGUCUUACUAUGUAAAGCAGUUUUUUGUGGUGAAUAUUACUUACGUAGCUCAAGACAAUUAAUAUGCUACUAUUUUGCUUCUGGAUCCUCUGAGCAAAUUUAAUAUUAUUUAUCAGUGAUGAGAAGAAAGAAAUUCACAUUAGUAGCAUUUUGAAGCCAGGGAACAACAUAUGCAGUAAAUGAUCUACCUAUUAUUAGUUAACCCAUGACUGGCUGUGGGAUGCUGGUGGCUCACAAAAUAAUGGGCAAAAGUUAAUUUAAUUAGCCUCUGUUAUGUUAUUUGGAUGUUUCACUAAAUGUAUUUUCUCUGGUCAGGGCAGACUUAGGAAAAAUUGCCCAGGUUGGAAAAGGCUCCCCGUGUGCUCAGCAGAAUACACAGAAUACAGUGCUGGUGCACAAAGACACUGAAAACAAAGCAACAAAAAGGUAAGACAAAUGUGGGAACACGUAGUACGGGAGAGAGAAAUUGUUAUGAAAACAAGGUAUGGCCUGUAGGCUAAUAGAAAUUAAUAUAAUUAGGAGCAUAUGAAAUGUUCAUAAAAUUAGGACAGGGAGAGCCUUUUUAAAAUUUGUUUUUAAGUGAAUUAGUUAAGAAUAAAAACCUUUUCUUUUUUUUUCCUGAUGAGCAACAGUGAGCACAGAACUUGAGGUGUUCUCUAGAAGUGGGACUUCUGAAUUGCUUUGGGCUGCUUUUUCAUGUCAGUGCAAACUUAACAGGGGCAACAGAAAACCAAGUACCACACAGGACUCAAACCUGGGGCACAGCCAACAGCAGCAACAGGAGUUGGAGUCAAGCAGUGCUUCAUACAUCCCAAUUCCUCCAUUGCCCUGUCAUAGCAACCUAUAGAGCACCCUUGAAAGACGUGGAAAUUAGGACCUUUCCUGAUGAACACAUGCCUGAUGGUUAUUUAUCUAGUCAUUUUACACUGCUGUAUGCAAGCUAGUCAAGAAGAGGGUAGAUGUGGCACUGAAGGACAUGGUUGAUGGUAUGGUGGUGAUGGUGGAUGGUUGGACUAGAUGAUCUUAAUGGUCUUUUCUGACCUUAACAACUCUACAGUUCUAAAUGUAGCCAUCUGAGUCAUUUCCUUCUA
rnacentral:lncRNA from 1 species